rnacentral:lncRNA from 1 species
AGGCACUGUUAGGAGCAGAGGGAUUAUUCUCAUUCAUGCAACAGGCUUGGCUUCUGAAGUGGUAAACAACCUUCACAGCCAAGAACCCUCCAUGUUCUACAAUGAAAGGUUUGAGGGCUACAACUCCACACCAUCAGCUUCCUCAAACAAAACAGGAAAACAAGUGAAGUAGGAGAGAAAGCAAUUUCCCACAAUUGUGCUCAAGGAACAUAACUGAGAAAGAAAACGACACCUACUGCCAUCAGUGGGAGCUUCUCCAACUACUUCAGCAAGCUCUGAAAAGGGUUAGGCCAAGAGGACAAGCAGUAGAAACUGAGGCACA